rnacentral:lncRNA from 1 species
ACACAAUACAUAAAUAAAUCAUACAUCAAUCAGAGUACACACAUAGACCGACUACGGUCAAAUCCAAAUGAAAAGAAGAUAACCCCAAAUGCUAGAUCCCCGAUCGUCCCAACUGGGCUCCACUACUGAUCAUCAGGAAACGAAACAUAGUAACGACCAAGGUCCUCGUCGAACUCCCACUUGAGUUCGGUAGCAUCACCUGCACUGGUAUCGUCGACACCUGCAACUGUUUUGGAAGUAUCUGUGAGUCACGAGGACUCAACAAUCUCACACCCGCGAGAUCAAGACUAUUUAAGCUUAUGGGUAGGAAAGGGUAGUGAGGUGGAGCUGCAGCAAGCACUAGCAUGUAUGGUGGCUAACAUACGCAAAUAAGAGCGAGAAGAGAAGCAACGCAACGGUCGUGAAGCUAGAAGUGAUCAAGAAGUGAUCCUGAAACUACUUACGCACAACCAUAACACUAGAACCGUGUUCACUUCCCGGACUCCGCCGAGAAGAGACCAUCACGGCUACACACGCGGUUGAUGUAUUUUAAUUGAGUCAAGUGUCAAGUUCUCUACAACCGGACAUUAACAAAUUCCCAUCUGCCACAUAACCGCGGGCACGGCUCUCAAAAGUUUAUACCCUGCAGGGGUGUCCCAACUUAGCCCAGUAUAAGCUCUCACGGUCAACGAAGGAUAUUCCUUCUCCUGGGAAGAACCGAUCAGUCUCGGAAUCCCGGUUUACAAGACAUUUCGACAAUGGUAAAACAAGACCAGCAAAGCCGCCCGAUGUGUCGACAAUCCCGAUAGGAGUCGCACGUACCUCGUUCUCAGGACACACCGGAUGAACACUACGUACAACUAAAACCAGCCCUCAAGUUUCCCUGAGGUGGCGCUGCAAGUGGCUCUAGUUUGGACCAACACUCCGAGGAGCACUGGCCCGGGGGGGUAAAAUAAGAUGACCCUUGAGUCUGCAGAACCCAAGGGAAAAAGGCUUAGGUGGCAAAUGUUAAAACCAAGGUUGGGCCUUGCUGGAGGAGUUUUAUUCAAAGCGAACUGUCAAGGGGGUCCCAUAAAUCACCCAACCGCGUAAGGAACGCAAAAUCAAGGAACAUAACACCAGUAUGACGGAAACUAGGGCGGCAAGAGUGGAACAAAACACCAGGCAUAAGGCCGAGCCUUCCACCCUUUACCAAGUAUAUAGAUGCAUUAAUUAAGAUAAGAGAUAUUGUGAUAUCCCAACAUAAACAUGUUCCAACAUGGAACAAACUUCAUCUUCACCUGCAACUAGCAACGCUAUAAGAGGGGCUGAGCAAAAGCGGUAACAUAGCCAAACAACUGUUUGCUAGGAAAGGUGGGUUAGAGGCUUGACAUGGCAAUAUGGGAGGCAUGAUAUAGCAAGUGGUAGGUAGCGCGGCAUAGCAAUAGAGCGAACAACUAGCAGCAAAGAUAAAAGUGAUUUCGAGGGUAUGGUCAUCUUGCCUGAAAUCCCGCUAGGAAUAAGAACGAGUCCAAGAAGAAGACAAGCGGACGUAGUCGAACGAAUCCUCACACUCCGAAACGAAACCGAAGCUAACGAGACAAGCAAACCGGAAAGAAGCAAGCAACAUAGUAAACAACCAUCACAUAAACAUGGCAUGAUGCACAAUCAAGUAUGAUGCAUGUCCGGUUUAAUGAGCAUGGCAUGGCAAAGUGCAACAAACAACACUACAAAUUAAGUGGAGCUCAAUAUGCAACGAGUUGCAUAUUGACGAAACACCACAUUCAAGUUAUUUAGUUCGCUCUUGUUUAUGUACCCAACAAUAUUAAAUGUUAUUAAACAUGGCAAGGGGUGAAGCAUAUGAAAACUACCUAGCUAGGCAAGUUUAAAUGAGGCCGGAACAACAAACAACAAUUCCAGAAAAUCCUCAUGUCCAUUUUUCGAAUUAGCUACUGUUCUGCCCUAAAACAUCUUUUAAUGUUAUUAAACAGUAAAACAAAGUGCACCAUGUUAACCUAUGCAUUUUUCUACCCCCAUUUACAUAUAAAGAACAUUUAAUUUGGAGCUACGGUUAACUAGUUAUGAAAUAAUUCAUUUUAACAUGCUAUUUAUGCAAAAUUAAAUAAACAGCAAGUUUAAACAUUUUAAACAUGGAUGAGAGCAGCAUAUUAUGAAACUAGAUGAAAUUCUAGACAUUUUACAUACUUAAACCAUUUUAAUCCGAUGCACGGUUGUGGAGUUAUUAAAUGCAUGAUGUUUGAGGGUUUAUCUAUAAAACUGUAGUUCUCUGGAUAAAUGCGAAAAUCGCAGCAGCAGGAAAAAAACACUACGGGCCGAAUCUGGCUGGCCCAAUGGUGCACACGAGAGGGGCGGGUGCUGCUCACCCUGGGCCAAGGCCCAGCUGAUGGGGAGGAGGCCGGGCAGGCCAGAUCUGGCAGGUGGGGAGGAGGUCAACGCAGCGGCGCAGGCGUGCGCUCGAUGCAGCGCUGCUGCAUCUAACUGCAGAAGAACUGCAGCGGCGCCAUGGCGGCAGGAAGCAGGGGGUCACCGCGGCGGGGCUCCUUCCGGCUGGAUCACGCCAGAUCCCGCGGGAACGGAGCGAGGGCGAACGGAUCCACGCACGAGUAGUCGAGGCAGGAGCUCGAGGCGGCAAACUUGAAGGAGGCUGCUGUUAACUGAAGAAAAGACAGAGUUCAGAGGGAAACAGGGGAAGGAAGGAGAGAUAGAGAUGCACUGAGAUGGAAAGGGCGCGACGGGGCGACCUGGGGUUGGCGGCGACGACGAGGCCGGUCGUCAGAGGCACGAAGGCGAGGCCGUGGUUACGAGGGUGGCAAGGCAAGCCUCCGCUUGUGGUGCCCAUGGCUGCAUGAGCGACCUUCCUUUAGAAAAGCAAAGAGAUGGAGUUGAGAGAACGAGGACGACCGAAGAAGGAAAAGGGGAUGCGCGCUGCUCAUCUGUGGCGGGUACGGAGCAAGGCGGCGGUGGAGCAUCUGGGCACGGGGAAAUGGCCUGGAGAAACUGCACAAGGCCGAGCGCCAUGGUGGUUGCAGUGUCGUCGGCCUCCACGCUAAGGACGGCAGAGCUCGGCGAGGGGGGUGCGGAGAGGAGGCAUGCGAGGCAGGGGAUGGAGUGGACGCGGAGGGAAUGGAGCUCCGGCGGCUUGGCUGCUCCGGGCGGGGCUCAAGGAGCUCGGCGAGGGCUGCAGAGCUCUGUUGAGGCUUGCUGGGGAUCGAGCCACCUAGGGGAGGCACUGCUGCAGGCUGGAUGGAUGGAUUGGGUGGCGGCGGAAAACAAGGGACUUGGUCGGAGAGAAUUUGGAUCGGGAGGAGAUCCCGAGGUGGGAGGUGGAGUGUGGCGGCGGCGAUUGGAUAGGGG